UGAGGAAUAUUGGUCAAUGGGCGAGAGCCUGAACCAGCCAAGUAGCGUGAAGGAUGAAGGUUCUAUGGAUUGUAAACUUCUUUUAUACGGGAAUAAAACCUCCCACGUGUGGGAGCUUGUAUGUACCGUAUGAAUAAGCAUCGGCUAACUCCGUG
rnacentral:rRNA from 1 species